GCCUGUCCUGACCCCAAGCCUCCCUGCUGUUCUGUACCUGCCUGACUUUGACCCGUUUAAGAACCUCUGCCUGUCCUGACCCCAAGCCUCCCUGCUGUUCUGUACCUUAUUGACUCUGCCCUGGAUUACGGACCUCUUUUGCCUGCUCCCUGUUUGGGUCAAUAAACAUCUGUGACUCUAGCUGUCUGCAUCUGGGUCUUAUCCUGAGUUCUGAUAGUCCCACAGUUGACAAUGCAUGUCAGAACAAAGUCAUGAGGACACAGGAAUUGUCCGUAGAGCACAGAGACAGGAUCGUGUCGAGGCACAGAUCUGGGGAAGAGUUCCAAAACAUUUCUGCAGCAUUGACGGUCCCCAAGAACACAGCCCGCUUGGAGUUUGCCAAAAGGCACCUAAAGACUCUCAGACCAUGAGAAACAAGAUACUCUGGUCUGAUGAAUACAAGAUUGAACUCUUUGGCCUGAAUGCUAAGCGUCAUGUCUGGAAUAAACCUGGCACCAUCCCUACGGUGAGCCUGGUGGGGGCAGUGUGAGCAUGGUGAGGGCAGCAUCUUGCUGUGGGGAAGUUUUUCAGCAGCAGGGACUGGGAGACUAGUUAGGAUCUAGGCAAAGAUGAACAGAACAAAGUACAAAGAGAUCCUUGAUGAAAACCUGCUCCAGAGUCCUCAGGACCGCCGACUGGGGCGAAGGUUCACCUUCCAACAGGACAACAGCCCUAAGCACACAGCCAAGAUGACACAGGAGUGGCUUCAUGACAAGUCUCUGAAUGUCCUUGAGUGGCCCAGCCAGAGCCUGUAUUUGAACACGAUCAUACAUCUCUGGAGAAACCUUAAAAUAGCUGUGCAGCAACGGUCCCCAUCCAACCUGACAGAGCUUGAGAGGAUCUGCAGAGAAGAAUGGGAGAAACUCCCAAAAUACAGGUGUGCCAAGCUUGUGUGUCAUACCCAAGAAGACUCGAGGCUGUAAUUGCUGCCAAAGGUGCUUCAACAAAGUACUGAGUAAAGGGUCUGAAUACUUAUAUAAAUGUGAUAUUUCAGUCCUUUUUUUUUUGCUAAAAAAAUCUAAAAACCUGUUUUUUCUUUGUCAUAAUGGGGUAAUGUGUGUAGAUUGAUGAGGGGGGAAACUAUUUAAUCAAUUCUAGAAUAAGGCUGUAAUGUAACAAAAUGUAGAAAAGUUGAGGGGUCUGAAUACUUUCGAAUGCACUGUAUGGUCAUUGAUCAACUUCAAUAUUGCCCCUUGACACAUUCAAAUGUAAAGAUAAAGUAAAAUAGUUGAGGCAGCUUUUAUUUUUGCAAAUACGUUCACUUUAUUUGUAUUUUUUACCACAAAAUAAUGAAAUAUGCAGCAUCCCUUAAUUUUUACAUUAAAAAUAGUUAUUACAAUCAAUGAUAUGAGCAUUAUAUGGAUACAAGUAUGAAGUUGCAGUGCAAAGGCUUACAAAAUCUUGAGCAAAAUCAAAUAUAUUACUUUAAAAUUCUUUACCCUAAAUUACAGAGGUGCAAAUGAUCCCUUUGGGCCUCAACCAAUAUCCACAUAAAAUUAGUUCAAACAUAUUUCAUUUAGAUCUAAUAAAACUAUUCAAAAUAAAAAAUCCACCUUGUAUAAACUCACCUUUCCAUGUUAAGACUCCUCCUUACCUGUCCACAAAUAAAAUAUAGGUGAUCAACUAAAUCCUCCGGUCUUUUUACUGACCCUUAUUCCAAUCACAGAGGAGGCUUUACCUCUUCUCUGUGUCUGGUCAGGUCUGGUCAGGUUUGGUCUGGUCAUUAUGCUGGUCAGGUCAGGUCUGGUCAGGUAUGGUCAUUAUGCUGGUCAGGUCAGGUCAGGUCUGGUCAGGUCAGGUCAGGUCUGGUCAGGUCUGGUCAGGUCAGGUCAGGUCAGGUCUGGUCAGGUCUGGUCAGGUCAGGUCUGGUCUGGUCAGGUCAGGUCUGGUCAGGUCUGGUCAGGUCAGGUCUGGUCAGGUCAGGUCAGGUCUGGUCAGGUCUGGUCAGGUCAGGUCUGGUCAGGUCAGGUCAGGUCAGGUCAGGUCUGGUCAGGUCAGGUCAGGUCAGGUCUGGUCAGGACAUUAUGUUGGUCAGGUCUGGUCAGGACAUUAUGCUGGUCAGGUCUGGUCAGGACAUCAUGCUGGUCUGGUCUGGACAUUAUGCUGGUCAGGUCUGGUCAGGUCUGGUCAGGACAUUAUGCUGGUCGGGUCAGGACAUUAUGCUGGCCAGGUCUGGUCAGGACAUUAUGCUGGUCGGGUCAGGACAUUAUGCUGGCCAGGUCUGGUCAGGACAUUAUGCUGGUCAGGUCUGGUCUGGUCAGGUCAGGUCUGGUCAGGACAUUAUGCUGGUCAGGUCUGGUCAGGUCAGGUCAGGUCUGGUCAGGACAUUAUGCUGGUCAGGUCAGGUCUGGUCUGGUCAGGUCUGGUCAGGUCAGGUCUGGUCAGGUUUGGUCAGGACAUUAUGUUGGUCAGGUCUGGUCAGGACAUUAUGCUGGUCAGGUCUGGUCUGGUCAGGUCAGGUCUGGUCAGGUCUGGCCAAGUCUGGUCUGGUCAGGACAUUAUGCUGGUCAGGUCUGGUCAGGACAUUAUGCUGGUCUCGUCUGGACAUUAUGCUGGUCAGGUCUGGUCUGGUCAGGUCAGGUCUGGUCACAACAUUAUGCUGGUCAGGUCAGGUCAGGUCUGGUCAGGUCUGGUCAGGACAUUAUGCUGGUCUGGUCAGGGCAGGUCUGGUUAGGUCUGGACAGGUCAGGUCAGGUCAGGACAUUAUGCAGGUCUGGUCAGUUCUGGUCAGGUCUGGUCAGGUCUGGUCAGGACAUUGAUGCUUGAUCCUUUCACUGCAUUGCCAUUGUAGCCUCAGCAUCUGAAAAUACACAAGACAACAGAAUAAUCUGAUUAGGACAUAGAACAUUUCUACAUGGACAGUAAACCUGUUCAAAUCCAGACAUCUAAAACAUCAGCACGCGUUGAUUGGCAGUGCCCUCUGAUCAUGUACACACGUGCAGUGUGACGUUGUGUGUGUGUCAUCUCCCCUCCCAGCAACGUUUUGCUGUUGUUGUUUACUACCAGUUGUGUGUGUAUGUGUGUGUGUGUGUAUCAGUCAUCUGUAUCAGUGUUUAGGGUGACCCCUGAGCUUGCCAACAGUUAGGGGUCAAGGGUCAGAGUAGGGACUGUCUGGGCGCACCGGCUGACCCCCAGCACCUGCAGCCUAUAGGGGGAGGGGAACCCUCAUCACCCGGACCAGGCUGAUAACACCUCUGGGAUUAGGAUCCAGACACAAACACACUGACCCCACUCCUUGCUCCCAAACACACACACACGUCAUAGACAUUGGUCCCUGCUUGGUCAUAAACUGAUGUCACGAUCGCUUAGGCUGCAUAACGCAGGUUAGGUCUGGUCUGGUCUGGUCAGGAAGGAGGAAGGGAGGGAGGAUGCUGAGUCUGGGACUGUCACCUAAUUAUCAUUCUUCUCUGAGAUGAGACUGCAUGGGGGGUUCUGUCAGGGCUUUUAACCAUUAGUAGACAUGAUCUGAUGUAACACCAUUGAAGAUCUCUGACAGUUAUGCGAUUUCUUUGUGCAAAUGUAGAUGAUACAUAUAUACAUAUCUGGUUAGAUCUCUAACAACAAGAGAGCCUAGGACCAAACGAUACAGUACAUCAUUAUUACAGACUCACCAGACCCUGUGACCCUCUUAUCAUAACAACCAAGGAGAAAGAAACUGCUCUUCAGGAGGAAACGGCACUAACAGGGAACUGAGCUGACCACAACCCUAAAUAGUCCUGUUGUGUUAAUACCACUCCUCCUUGCUUUUACUGGGGUCUAGAGAGGAGGUCCUACCAGGAUUUCCUUCCAAACAGACAUCAACAAUAACCUGUCUGCUCUGGCCUGGCCUGGCCUGGCCUGACCUGGUCUUGUCUGGCUUGGCCUGGUCUUGUCUGGCUUGGCCUGGUCUGGCCUGGUGGAGCGGGAGGCUUGGCUGAUUUAUCAGGGUAUUUUACUGGGGAGACUAUUGGGGGCUGCGGAGACACUGGGGGUGGGGAGACAUGGGGAAGGGGACAGGGGAGAGAGAGGGGAAUGACAGGUGGCAGGAGAGGGAGAGGGGAAUGACAGGGGGCAGGGGAGGGAGAGGGGAAUGACAGG
ensembl:lncRNA